GUGCUUGCUACGGCGGCACAUAUACUAAAAUUGGAUUGAUACAGAGAAGAUUAGCAUGGCCCCUGCGAAAGGAUGACACGCAAAU
ensembl:snRNA U6 U6 spliceosomal RNA